AAGUCGUAACAAGGUUUCCGUAGGUGAACCUGCGGAAGGAUCAUCAACAAAUCUAAAAUGAUAUAUAAUAGUAAUAGGGUAAAACCUAUUACUUUAUUAUCAUCAACCAAUGUGAAUUGGAUAAUAAUAAUAGUAAUAUAUUAUUAUUAUCUUAAUAUUAGUAGUAAUAAUGAUAAUAAUAAUAAUAAUGAAAUUCUUUUGAAAAAAUGAGUAACAUUGUUAUUAUUAUUAUUAUUAUUAUUAUAUUAACGAGUAUUUAAAAGAGUCUGAAAAAAUUAUUUAAUAAUAAUAUAUAAACAACUUUUAACAAUGGAUCUCUUGGCUCUU
rnacentral:misc_RNA from 1 species